GCCUCGGUGGUGUAGUGGUGGUAGCACGCGUCUCCGAAUGGAUAUUGCAGGUUCGAUUCCCGCCUGAGGCC